GCAGAGCACAGCAUACAAACGAGGCUGAAAUGGAUCCACUGCAGAAUGAAUGCCCUCUUCGUCUGAACACACUCAGAUUCCAUCUCACGGACCUCUCGUCUCUGCGGUGUAUGAACUCAGAAGUAUCGGAAGUGUAGGCGCCGAUGCGGGGCCUCCCGUCAGUUCUUUAGAAUUAAUGUGUGUAAGCUACAAGUGAGCGUUUUCUUUAGUUCUCUGCAGUGAGUAUCACUGUCUGCCUCACCUUUGUUCCUCUGGGUGGGACUCUUCCCAGUCAUAUGCAUUGUGCUUACUGUCGUAGUGAGUAAUAAACGUUUUUGUGGGCACAGCCCUCACUCGGC
rnacentral:lncRNA from 1 species